CCAUGUUUUGGUUUCUCCUUUUUCAUCCGUUUUCAUUCUUCCAGGGCUUUUAAUCUCCCUUUCAUGUCUUCCGUUCCAUCUUCACUCUCUUUGCCUCUCUCCCUCUUCUGUUUCUUUGUUUGCGAUGUUGAGGCCAGGGAUUCCUCUCCCCAUUACAUCGCAAGGCCCUCUCUUUAACCCCCAAAGUUGUGGCUGUCGUUUUUUUCCGCAGCGGCAUCGGCAUCGGCGACGAGGUGAAGACCCUGAGGGGCGGGCUCCGGCGGCGUGCGAGGUAGGGGAGAUAGGUGGAUGGCGAACUGAGGAAUCUGUCCCGUCCAUUAGGAACUGCGGAAUCGACUGCGAGAUUCGCACAGCAGGUCAUAAAAAUCUUCUUCUCCUCUAUUUUAUCCCUAUUUGUGUAUCUGCUCUUCUUACUCUGCUCUGGGUUGAAGCCUUGGUUUAAAUCGCGGCCCUUUGCGGCUUCACAUUAUUUUCUUCUUGGCAGAUUUGCGGCUUCACUAAUCUGUGGUAAGGGUUUCUUCUCGAAUUUACUGUCCUCAGAUUCUUUAUUUGUUUUUUUUUCUCUGUUCUGAAUCUGUUAGCUACCCCUCUAGACUAUGUUUUGUUUGCUUUAUCUAUUUAUUUUACAAAUUGAGUGUCAGAAAGGUUGAAAGACAGGCUAGCGGAGUUUUCAAAAUGUGAGUAUGAGCUGUUUGAUGAAUUGACCAGUUCAAUCAGAGGAGAAGAGCAUUGGAUGGCAUAGAGAUGAUAACACACCCUACCUCAAACAACAUCACCUUUCAGUGAGGUUUAUUCAACCUUUUUUACGUAUUGAUAUCCUGUUAUAAUUUGCACUCUUGCUGAUAGACAACUUUUACCUUCAAUUGGUAAAAACAUUGAAGGCUCAUGUAGUCAAGGUGUUAUAAUUUUACUCUUGUUUGAAUGGGAACAAGGUCAGCGAACUUUCUUAUCUUCCUCUCUUACAGUUUGAAACUUUUUCUGCUUUUGUUUCAUGUACUAUUUUAGUUUGUCUUCUUCAUUUUUCUGCUUAAUUGAUCAAUGAGUUAUUAUUAUCAUCAUUGUCAUAGUUGCUAAGUGGUUUUGUAAUCUAUGUAUGAGCUUUUGGAUUUCAAAGUUUUGGGUGAUUUGUGUUUGUUUCUUUUGAUAUUUUAUUGGUUUCUUUGAGAAAAACUAAGGAGAACAAUCAGAAUUCUUCUCUCUGGCCAGGGUAAAUUCGAGGCUCAUAAUCUACUACAUCUUAAAAGAGAGUCAUGAAUUCACUAUUCAUAAGAGAAGUUUUCAUCUGGACCGUCCAUUUAUUUACUCAUGUUUUGCUAUUUCAAUCUUGGCCAUUCAUGUUUUGCUAUUCCACUGGUUUCUUAUUUCCCCUUUUUCCCCCAAUUCUUCCUCUCCAUGACCUCAGUGCUGGCGUUGUGGAAGGAGAAGUCGCGUGCAGACUCACUACGUUGGAUCAGUUCAUUCAAUCAGACUCACUAGGUGUAUGAGUGGUUGGAUAUUGCAGAAGUGAGAAGAUGAUGAAGUUUCAAGGAAGGAGGGUAGAGUAGUUUUCUUAAGGGGAAAGAACAAAUUUUGGGUUUUACUGUUUUCAUGGAUCACGAUUGAUGAAAAAUCCCGUCACCGUGACAUCUCCUUCUUCGUGCCAGCCUGUGUUCUGAGUUCUGACAGCCGACGUCUGCACAGUGCACAUGAGGAUGGUAGAUUGAGUUAGGUUGGAAUUUGAUGGAGAUUUGACAUUGGAUAAAGGAGAAAGCAAGGAGAAGGAGAAGAGAUGAUGAUGAUGGAAAAUACGAAAUUUCGUCACCAUGGAUUGUUAGGUCAGAAGCACAACAGAAGGAGAAGAGAAGACGGUGGAAGGAAAAGGAAGCUAUGAUGGCUGGCAGGAUAGAUCAUCAUUGAGAACGAGUGUUGUCAGGUGUGGGAGCUUUCCCUGAUGUCAGGUCAGUACAAGGGGUUGGUAUUUCCAGCCUGUUUGUUUGUUCCAUUCAAUUGUCACUGGUUUUCCCUUUCCAAUUGUCUAUAAAUACUGCCUUAGUUUGUUGGAUAUGCGUCCCUGCUUUUCAUUCUUCCUGUUGCUAUUUCUCUACAUAUCUGAGAAUUGGUCUUUCCACCAAUCUUACUGAUGGCGUUUACGGCUGUAAUAUCACCUUCAACUCCUCAUUUGGGUUUUUUGUUGAUAGGUUUAGCCUUGCUAUUGUUUAUUUUUGAGUUAUUCACUGUUGUGUGUCCGUCCUUCUUUCUAAAUUCCAGAUCUGAGUGCAUUCCCAAGGAGCAAAUCGUGGGUGAGCAAUCCUUGGGUCAGUAAGAAAUCUAAAUCGAUUUAAAUGAUACUGAUUUUCUUUGAUUUUUUCUUACUUUUGAUUCAUCUUCCAUAUAUUUAUCUUCUGUGUGUUUCUUCAAAUCAAGUUGGCUAUAAAUAUUCCCACAACCCUCCUCGAUUUUUAAACCUUCAUAUUCUUCAUGUUCAGUUUCCAUGUUUGCUUGUAUGAGUAAUAAGGUUCACGAGUUAAUGAUUUGAGCUCUAAUUCUUUUACUUCUGCAUAAAUUAGCAGGUAUCAGAAACUUAUAAUGUAGCUUCUCAACCUCAUAAAAUUAUUUUUGCAGGAAUCACAACAUUGAAAACUCACUUAGCUGCUAUCGAGAAGCUUUUGAUGUUGUUAUAUUGUAUAUAACGGACUUUGUAAGGAAGCACUCCAACAAAAUCCUGUACCUGUUUAGUGUUUUCCUGCACUGCAGUUCAGCUAUGAAUAGUGCAGAGAAUGAUGCACCCAUGUGGGGAGUUAUCAAUCUGGCCUCUCUUCUGUGUUCAAGUGGGAGACUAAUUGUUUUCAGACGUAAUGUGCAGAUGCAGGGCUUUGGUCAUAGAAGGCUUUGAGAUUUUAUUAUAGGUGUUAUUAUAGAUCUCCUUUCACAUGAGAAACAAACGAUGAUCAUAAAAAUGAAAUGAUGAAGGUUUAUUUCUAUUUCACAACUACCUGUUUGAAUUUUGGGCUGCUUGAAUUUUGGACAGAACUUUGAUUCAAGGGUGUCAUCCUUCUUUGAUAUAUAAACCAAAUGGUGGAGAGACUGGCUGAAUCAAGUGACUGCAGUGAGUACUGAAUGCAGUGAAUCCAGAUCCCGGAUGGAUGAGAUAAAGUUUAUCUUUUAUCAGGACUUGUGUUCAUACACCAUUGCCCAAACUCUUUAUUUUCCAUAUGUUAAAAUCUGAACCAUGUCUUGGACUAUUCCUCUUCUCAUCAACCAUGUGUAUUUUUACUGUGGACGAGCCCUAUGUUUUAUCAAGUGCUGAUUCUUUAUUACACAUGAGGUUCUAGAUGGUGACAUAUGCACAAUAAGAGAUGUUUAAACGGAUGAAUCGGCCAAAAUCUAGAUUAACCCUUUAUGCUCAUCUGCAUUGUUUAAAAUGUCAUUGUUCAUGGAUUUUUAUUUUCUCUUUGAAAUAGCAUUCAACCAUUCACCAUUGUAAAAGAUGCAUAUGCCUUGCUCCUUUAUGCUAUUUAGUAUCUAUUUGUACUUAUAUUAAGUAUCUAUUUAUGGUGGGUUGCCCAAAA